UACGUAGGUGGCAAGCGUUGUCCGGAUUUACUGGGCGUAAAGAGCGCGCAGGCGGUCGUCCAAGUCGCGUGUGAAAGCCCCCGGCUCAACUGGGGAGGGUCACGCGAUACUGGUCGACUCGAAGGCAGGAGAGGGUAGUGGAAUUCCGGUGUAGUGGUGAAAUGCGUAGAUAUCGGGAGGAACACCAGUGGCGAAGGCGACUACCUGGUCUGUUCUUGACGCUGAGGCGCGAAAGCUAGGGAGCA
rnacentral:rRNA from 1 species